GAGAAUCGCUUGAACCCGGGAGGCGGAAGUUGCAGUGAACUGAGAUCGAGCCACUGCAUUGCAGCCUGAGUAAUAGAAUGAUGACUCUCUCAAAAGAAAAAAAAAAGCAAAAAACCGGCUUCCAGCAUUUGUGAAAUGGCGUGAUCAGGUCAAGUAUUAGUUCAGGCCAUCUCCAGGGUCUCUUGUUUGUUUGUUUUGAGACAGGGUCUCACACUGUCAUGCAGACUGGAGUGCAGUGGCAUGAUCAUAGCUAACUGUGGCCUCCAACUCCUGGGCUCAAGUGAUCUUCCCACCUCAGUCACCCGAGUAGCUAAGCCUACAGGCAUGCACCACCAUGUCCGGCUAAUUUUAUUUUUUUGUAGGGGUGGGGUCUUGCUAUGUUGCCUAGGCUGAUCUUGAAUUCCUGGGAUCAAGGAAUCCUUCUGCUUUGGUCUCCCAAAGUGCUAGGAUUACAGGUGUGAGCCACUGUGCCUGGCCAAAGGGGUGCAUUUUGUGUGUUUAUUUUUAUUUUUAUUUUUUGAGACAGAGUUUCACUCUGUCGCCCAGUCUGGAGUGCAGUGGCACGAUCUCAGCUCACUACAGCCUCUCCCUCCCGGGUUCAAGCGAUUCUGCCACCUCAGCCUCCAGAAUAGCUGGGACUACAGGUGCCCACCACCACGCCCGGCUAAUUUUUGUAUUUUUAGUAGAGAUGGGGUUUCACCAUGUUGACCGGGCUGGUCUUGAACACCUGAACUCAGGUGAUCAGCCUGCCUCGGCCUUCCAAAGUGCUGGGAUUACAGGUGUGAACCACUGCGCUCAGCCAGCGGUGCAUUUUUGAGUAGUAAAUGUGGGGAACACGGCUAUAGCACAUAAACCCCAGCAACCAUGCGGCUGCCACCAGGUUUGAGGGGACGCUGGUGGCCCCCUUCCACUGGGCAGCUUGCUCCUUCCGCCCUGUAAUGUGAUGUUCCUUGAAGUGUGCUUCAAAUUCCUUAGCUAUAACGUUUUAUUUCAGAAUAAAAAUAAAUAACCAGGUCAGGUAAAGAAAACUGAUGGCAAGCCUUGCUGUGCGAGAGGAAUUUUUUUUGUUUUUUUUUUUUACAGGUGACAAUUCCCAGUUAAACAUUUUCACACAGUCAAGGAGGGGGACAGCUUGGGCUCACAACAAUGCUGCUAGAAAAUCGGCCGGGCACGAUGGCUCAUGCCUGUAAUGCCAGCACUUUGGGAGGCCGAGGCAGGCAGAUCACAUGAGGUCAGGAGUUUCAGAUUAGCCUGGCCAACAUGGUGAAAAGUCGUCUCUACUAAAAAUACAAAAAUUGGCCAGGUGUGGUGGUGGGCACCUGUAAUCCCAGCUACUCAGGAGGCUGAGGCAGGAGAAUUGCCUGAACCUGGGAGGUGGAGUUUGCAGUGAGCUGAGAUCACACUACUACACUUCAGCCUGGAAAACAGAGUGACACUCUGUCUCAAAAAUAAAAUAAAAUAAAAUAAUGGACUGGAAAAUCACUCAUGGGCCAAGCGGAUUGCUUGAUGGCUUGCCCAAGAGAUAUUUGAAAAUAUUAAGAGAAAUAGGAAUUAUGGAUCACGAUGGGCCCUUCAAAGAGGAGAAGAACGAUGCAUCGUCAGCUUCUGCAGAAGAUGAAUGACAGAGAAAAGAUAGAUGCGCUUAGGCCGGGCGCCGUGGCUCACGCCUGUAAUCCCAGCACUUUGGGAGGCUGAGGUGGGCAGAUCACGAGGUCAGGAGAUCGAGACCAUCUUGGCUAACAUGGUGAAACCCUGUCUUUACUAAAAUACAAAAAUUAUUAUAUUUUUGUAGAAAUGUGGUGGCAGAUGUCUGUAAUCCCAGCUACUUGGGAGGCUGAAGCAGGGGAAUCACUUGAAUCUGGGAGGUGGAGGUUGCUGUGAGCCAAGAUCACACCACUGCACUCCAGCCUGGCAACAGAGCAAGACUCUCUCAAAAAAAAAAAAAAAAAAAAAAAGAAUAAAGAAAAAAGAAAAGAUAGUGGCUCACGCCUGUAAUCCCAGCACUUUGGGAGGCCGAGGCGGGCAGAUCAUGAGGUCAGGAGAUCGAGACCAUCCUGGCUAACACGGUGAAACCCUGUCUCUACUAAAAAUACAAAAUAUUAGCCGGGCGUGGUGGCGGGCGCCUGUAGUCCCAGCUACUGGGGAGGCUGAGGCAGGAGAAUGGCGUGAACCUGGGAGGCGGAGCUUGCAGUGAGCCGAGAUUGCACCACUGCACUCCACCCUGGGCAACAGAGUGAAACUCCGCCUAAAAAAAAAAAAGAUAGAUACGCUGUUUUUUUCUUUUUUUUUCCACACUAGAGUUUUAUACUCUUCUCACAUAGUUUUGUUCUUUUCAGUAAAAGUAAUUCAUUAAAUCUAAACCUAGCUGUGAUGGUUUCUUGUUUCUUUGCAGGAUGUAUUUUGUUUUGCUUGUUAAACAAGUAACUCUACAAAUCGGAAAACGUGCCUUGUCAGUAUACCCCAGGUAUGGAGUUUUCGUUGAUCAAAUAUGGUCCCUGGAGGUCUGUUUAGGGACCAGGCAGGGUUUUUUUUCUAGCACUUUGUAGGAGCAAAGAACCAAGGCCAGGGCUGGGCGCGGUGGCUCACACUUGUAAUCCCAACACUUCAAUGGGAAGACCACUUGAAGCCAGGAGUU
rnacentral:lncRNA from 1 species